AAUUUUGGACUAUGGGCGAAAGCCUGCUCUAGCCAAGCCGCGCGUGUGAAGAAGGUCUUCGGAUUGUAAAGCACGUUAAGUUGGGUGGAAGGGCAGUAAGUUCAUAGCUUGCUGUAUUGACGCUACCGACAGAAUAAGCACCGGCUAACUUCGUGCCAGCAGCCGCGGUAAUACGAAGGGUGCAAUCGUUAAUCGGAAUCACUGGGCGUAAAGCGAGCGUAGGUGGUUCGUUAAGUUGGAUGUGAAAGCCCAGGGCACAACCUGGGAACUGCAUCCAAAACUGGCGAGCUAGAGUACGGUAGAGGGUGGUGGAAUUUCCUGUGUAGCGGUGAAAUGCGUAGAUAUAGGAAGGAACACCAGUGGCGAAGGCGACCACCUGGACUGAUACUGACACUGAGGUGCGAAAGCGUGGGGAGCAAACAGG
rnacentral:rRNA from 1 species